rnacentral:rRNA from 1 species
AACGAACGCUGGCGGCAUGCCUAACACAUGCCAGUCGAACGAGACCUUCGGGUCUAGUGGCGCACGGGUGCGUAACGCGUGGGAACCUGCCCUUAGGUUCGGAAUAACUCCCCGAAAGGGGUGCUAAUACCGGAUAAUGUCUUCGGACCAAAGAUUUAUCGACUUUGGAUGGGCCCGCGUUGGAUUAGCUAGUUGGUAGGGUAAAAGCCUACCAAGGCGACGAUCCAUAGCUGGUCUGAGAGGAUGAUCAGCCACACUGGGACUGAGACACGGCCCAGACUCCUACGGGAGGCAGCAGUGGGGAAUAUUGGACAGUGGGCGAAAGCCUGAUCCAGCAAUGCCGCGUGAGUGAUGAAGGCCUUAGGGUUGUAAAGCUCUUUUACCCGGGAUGAUAAUGACAGUACCGGGAGAAUAAGCUCCGGCUAACUCCGUG